rnacentral:sRNA from 1 species
UGUAACCUGCUGUUGUGUCCUCCAUCAUUGCCUAUGGAUCUUGUCUCUACGGAAAUGUUCCCACCAGCUUUCGUCUUGUAAUGUUGGUUGACGGAGAAUAUAUGGAAAAUCUGGGAUGCACAACCCCCUCAAACUUCAUAUCUCUCUCUCGUUUUUAUACCACAGAUGCUUCACAAGUCCAUCUUUCUUUACUGGCGCUUCAGAAAAGUGCCCAUCAGUUGUUCCUUGCUAACUAACGCCCAUCCCGAUGUCCAAUGACAUCCAUGGCCCGCCUG